rnacentral:rRNA from 1 species
GACGAACGCUGGCGGCGUGCUUAGCACAUGCAAGUCGAACGGUGAACGAGGGAGCUUGCUCCCUCCGGAUCAGUGGCGAACGGGUGAGUAACACGUGAGCAAUCUGCCCCGAACUCUGGGAUAAGCGUUGGAAACGACGUCUAAUACCGGAUACGACGCGGGAGGGCAUCCUCUCCGCGUGGAAAGAACUUCGGUUCGGGAUGAGCUCGCGGCCCAUCGGCUUGUUGGUGAGGGGACGGCUCACCACGUCGACGAGGGGUAGCCGGCCUGAGAGGGUGACCGGCCACACUGGGACUGAGACACGGCCCAGACUCCUACGGGAGGCAGCAGUGGAGAAUAUUGCACAAUGGGCGCAAGCCUGAUGCAGCAACGCCGCGUGAGGGAAGACGGCCUUCGGGUUGUAAACAUCUUUUAGCAGGGAAGAAGCGAAAGUGACGGUACCUGCAGAAAAAGCACCGGCUAACUACGUG